rnacentral:lncRNA from 10 species
UUUAUUUAUUUAUUUAUUUAUUGAGACAGAGUCUCACUCUGUCGCCCAGGCUGGAGUGCAGUGGCGCAGUGUCGGCUCACUGCAACCUCUGCCUCCCGGGUUCAAGCGAUUCUCCUGCCUCAGCCUCCCGAGUAGCUGGGAUUACAGGCGCCUGCUACCAGACGCAGCUGAUUUUUGUAUUUUAAGUACAGCUGGGGUUUCAUCAUGUUGGUCAGGCUGGUCUCAAACUCCUGACCUCGUGAUCCGCCCGCCUCAGCCUCCUAAAGUGCUGGGAUUACAGGCGUGAGCCACCUUGUCCGGCCCUGAAGCUUAUAGUUUUUAAUAUUCUAUAAUUCCUGAAGUUUUCAUAGUCUGCCUCUUUGCUUCUUAUUUUUCAGGAAACAAGUUAGUAACUGAGGGGAAAAGCACCACGAUCUCCCGGUGCGUUGUUUGCAAGAGUGCUUCAGCAGUCAGUGUCUUUCUUGUUGUUUGCCAGAUAAAGAUAUUUUGUCUGCAUAUCUGCAUAGCUUAACAGUAACUCAGGUGCUGACGUAGAAGUAAAGCAUGUGAGAAUGCUUUUGGAUCAUACACUUUUCACAUAAUAACAAAUUUUUCUCGAAUUGGUUUAACAGUAUCGUUUUAUGCUUUUUAAAAUGUAUCUUUGAUAUGAGUUGUUUGUCAUUUGCACAAGUUAAUGAUUUUACCUCCCCAGCUGCAACAUAUUUUUCAAAUUUAGGAACCCAACUUAACCAUCUGAACAUCCUUCUUAAAAAAAAUAAAGAAGAAAGCUCACAACUA